ensembl:lncRNA LINC00544 long intergenic non-protein coding RNA 544
AGUCCUUCUAGGUCAUGUGGAGUGGGCCAGCUUUAAUGAACCUGUCUAAAAGGAAGGAAGAGAAAGAGCUCAGCUCCUUAGGGGAACAAGGUGGACCUUGGCAGCUGUCUCACUCCUCACCAGCUCUUCACCUCAGAUCUUGUCCUGACUUCCUGGUCCACUAACGGCCUCCUGGAUAGAAGAGUCAGGCAGAGAACAAAGAUUGGUGGCUUCCUCCUGAGCACACUGGGAUGUGGCAUUACAUCGGGGCUGCUGAGUGCCCUUACCUUCAGCUGCCCAGAUGCAGAGGCAGGGAGCCACAUGCCAUUUGGAUUACUGCACUUUUCAAAGUACAUGGAAAGACUUGAGACAAUCCAGAGAAGAAUGACACAAACAAAAGGGCAGGACUCAUGAUGGAAAAGAGGCCCCAUGAGGAAAGGCUAAAGAGUCAGAACUACUGAAGCUAAAGAGGAAAACUCAAGUAACGAAACAUUAUUGCUUUCAAAUAUGUGACAGGUAUUUGGCUAGAAGUUAUCACUGAUACGUUUCCAGAACACAUGGAGGCCAAGGCAGACAAAAGUAAAGAUGGAAACCAGACCAGUAAAUAAGUCCUUUGAUGAACUUCUGAGUCUCUACAGAUGAAGGCAAAGCUCCCUCACAGUUGCAGGCAACGUCUCAUCUUUUGUCACUUCUGGCAUGACACUGCACAGCCACAGCCAGUACGGUAUCUCUGCCUUUGCCCAUGUCCUGCCUUCUUUCUCCCUGGUCGGUAUCUCCUCACCUCAACCAGCUUGGCCAGCUCCUUGGUCAUUGGGGUUGCACCCACCCAGGCAUGUGCCUGGCUCCGCACAACCUCAGAAGCUCUCAGUACAGUGCAGGACCAGAGGUUGAAACCAAUGAAAGGUUGUUAAAUAAAGAGAAAAUGUUUAAUGCUGAGAACAAAGACUAGGAAAGAGAUGUCUAAUAAGAAAUUUUACAGUGAAA